ACAGCAGUCGCCGCGGUAAUUCGUAGGUGGCAAGCGUUGUCCGGAAUUAUUGGGCGUAAAGGGCUCGCAGGCGGUUUCUUAAGUCUGAUGUGAAAGCCCCCGGCUCAACCGGGGAGGGUCAUUGGAAACUGGGAAACUUGAGUGCAGAAGAGGAGAGUGGAAUUCCACGUGUAGCGGUGAAAUGCGUAGAGAUGUGGAGGAACACCAGUGGCGAAGGCGACUCUCUGGUCUGUAACUGACGCUGAGGAGCGAAGGCGUGGGGAGCGAACAGGAUUAGAUACCCGUGUAGUCCCUGUCUCUUAUAA
rnacentral:rRNA from 1 species